CACUUUAACCUGACUGGUGGCAGCGAAGGAGACCUACCCUAGGAUUUUAGGGUGGGGGAAUACUUGCUGGUCCUCACUUUGAAACCCCCCAGUUUUAAGUGAGGGUGCAGACCAGGACAGGGAGUGAGGUGGGGGAGUUACGACUUGGCUGCUGGAAUAAGUCAGGGGAACACCCGGGAGUCUGACCUCCUUGGUCAGAGAUUGGGAGACAGAGUUUGCCCUGUGGGGGUUCACUACAGCUGGGCUGGGUGCUGGCUACCCAGAAUGGACAAUGCUUUAACUUUCAUUUCUCUGUGCUAACCAAGGACUUCCUAUGCUAUGCUCCUUCUGGCUAAUCAACCUUUUUGUUCUGGCUGAAGUGGGGAAUUUUCUUAGUGUCUUGCAUGAACACUGUGUGAGUGUGUCUCAAUUUCUUGUGUAUGCUGUGUGUUUAACGAGGUGGUGGGAUACGGGGUUUGUUGUUGCAGAGGACCGGGGUGACCUUGUGUAGAAGUCAGGACCCCAGACAACGGCCUGGAAAUUGGGUACCCUAGCAACUGGUGACCUGGUGCCCGGGAGGCCCCCCACCCCCAGCUUGGAAGUCAGCUGGUUCUGGCCAGUGGGAGGACAAUGGGCUGAGGAGAGAAGACCCCGGAGACCUGACCAACUGGUUCUAGCCGGUGGGGGAACAAAGGACUUAAGAGAGGAGAAGAGGCCCAGGUGGCCUGUUUACCUGGGACCAAAGACAAAGAAUGGAGGAGAGGCUGUUGGGGAAGAUGAUCAGCAAGGAUUUCACACUUGUAGAAAAAGUAUUUAAGUGAAGAGAUGUGGGCAGAGCUGGAUGCUGUGAAAGACACAAAACCUGACCUGGUAAUGAAGACACAGUAUUGCUGUACAGGGAGACGACUCAAGAACCAUCCUUGGAUCUGAAGGGAAACUGUCCUUCUGCUACAAUGGUUCAUACUAUUACAUAUCUAUUUACAAGGGUUUGUAACUUUACACAACUCCACAGCUAUUAUCUGAAUUUUUCUAUAUCCAUCUUCAACAGAGAU